CAGGGGGCUGACCUCUGUCUGUUAAAUGUGUAACUGUGUCUACACAUCAGGGGGCUGACCUCAGUGUGUUGAAUAUGUAACUGUGUCUACACAUGAGGGGGUUGACCUCAGCGUGCCGAAAGGCCAAAAUGGAGAGAAAAUGAGGUUGCCCAGGUGUCUUUCCUGGUGGGCCCAGACUUUGGGGUUUCAGGACGGGUGAG